rnacentral:rRNA from 1 species
AUUGAACGCUGGCGGCAGGCUUAACACAUGCAAGUCGAGCGAGCGGCGGAGGGGUGAGUAAUGUCUGGGAAACUGCCUGAUGGAGGGGGAUAACUACUGGAAACGGUAGCUAAUACCGCAUACCCACAGAUGUGCCCAGAUGGGAUUAGCUAGUAGGUGGGGUAAUGGCUCACCUAGGCGACGAUCCCUAGCUGGGCUGCGGGGAUGACCAGCAGAACUGGAACUGAGACACGGUCCAGCGUCCUACGGGAGGCAGCAGUGGGGAAUAUUGCACAAUGGGCGCAAGCCGGAAACAGCCAUGCCGCGUGUGUGAAGAAGGCCUUCGGGUUGUAAAGCACUUUCAGCGAGGAGGCGUUACUCGCAGAAGAAGCACCGGCUAACUCCGUGCCAGCAGCCGCGGUAAUUC